rnacentral:sRNA from 1 species
AGAUAUAAACAUUUGGGUGGUGCAGUAUUCUAGUCAACCUACCAAUCCUGAAGGUGGGCCUAAAAAUCCACUAAAGGGCACAUCGAUGAAGUUCCUGGACUUGGCUUGAGGCGCCCAGCUUUGGGUCAUAUCUGGGAGUAAGGCUUGAGGGCGAUCCACAAUGGCAUGUGGGCGUUGACCCGCAAGCCGCGGAGGCUCUGUUUCUUACGCUGGCAUAAUGCAUGUGCAAUGAGAACAGAGUAUGAACCUGCGACUGUGAUGGGAUCCAUCACUAGCAGCGUAGCCUGCCUUGAGUGAAGAGAGAGGGGAUUAUGGUUACAAAGUACACAUCAGUUGGCCAUUGAUAUGUGCUUUUUCGUCCAUAUGAAAUCCUUUUUGCAAAAGAGGCUAAGGAUUGUGUCAAGGGUUGUUGAGGAAAACUCCUAGACUGUUCGCUUUGACAUAUAUGAAGGAUUAUAGUGCGGACUAAGUGGUAAUCCAGUCUAGCCUGUGGUGACGCGGCUAAGUCGGGUUUAAAGGGAAACCGCCGGUAUGGCAACAUCCGGUACCUGAUUGGGAAAACCUACUGGACCUAAGCUGCAAUUUUUACUUCAUAUAUGACCAUCCAACUACAUAGGACU